rnacentral:rRNA from 1 species
UACGGAGGGAGCUAGCGUUAUUCGGAAUUACUGGGCGUAAAGCGCACGUAGGCGGCUUGUAAGUAAGAGGUGAAAGCCUGGAGCUCAACUCCAGAACUGCCUUUUAGACUGCAUCGCUUGAAUCCAGGAGAGGUGAGUGGAAUUCCGAGUGUAGAGGUGAAAUUCGUAGAUAUUCGGAAGAACACCAGUGGCGAAGGCGGCUCACUGGACUGGUAUUGACGCUGAGGUGGCGAAAGCGUGGGAGCAACAGG